UCCCCUAGUAACUGCGAGUGAAGCGGGAAAAGCUCAAAUUUAAAAUCUGGUGGCCUUUGGUCAUCCGAGUUGUAAUUUAGAGAAGCGUCUUCCGCGCUGGACCGUGCACAAGUCUCCUGGAAUGGAGCGUCGUAGAGGGUGAGAAUCCCGUCUUUGGCACGGACUCCCAGUGCUUCUGUGAUGCGCUCUCGAAGAGUCGAGUUGUUUGGGAAUGCAGCUCAAAAUGGGUGGUGAACUCCAUCUAAAGCUAAAUAUUGGCGAGAGACCGAUAGCGAACAAGUACCGUGAGGGAAAGAUGAAAAGCACUUUGGAAAGAGAGUGAAACAGUACGUGAAAUUGUUGAAAGGGAAACGCUUGAAGUCAGUCGCGUCGUCCGAGACUCAGCCUCGCCUCGGCUUGGUGUACUUCUCGGCCGACGGGUCAGCAUCAAUUUUGCCCCUUGGAUAAUGGCGAGGGAAAUGUGACACCUUUGCGGGUGUGUUAUAGUCUCUAGUCGCAUGCAAGGGUCGGGAUUGAGGAACUCAGCACGCGCCUUCGGGCGUCGGGGUUCGCCCACGAUACGUGCUUAGGAUGUUGGCGUAAUGGCUUUAAACGACCCGUCUUGAAACACGGACCAAGGAGUCUAACAUGCCCGCGAGUGUUCGGGUGGAA
rnacentral:rRNA from 1 species